AAUGAACGUUGGCGGCGUGGAUUAGGCAUGCAAGUCGAGCGAGAACCCAGCAAUGGGGGACAGCGGCGUAAGGGACAGUAAUGUGUAGAUUAUCUGCCCUCGGGACCGGGAUAGCUGCGGGAAACUGCAGGUAAUACCGGAUAACAUCUCCGGAUCAAAGGUGUGAUUCCGCCCGAGGAUGAGUCUGCAUCCUAUUAGCUAGUUGGCAGGGUAAUGGCCUACCAAGGCUUUGAUGGGUAGCGGGUGUGAGAGCACGACCCGCGUCAUUGGGACUGAGACACUGCCCAGACACCUACGGGUGGCUGCAGUCGAGAAUCUUCGGCAAUGGGCGCAAGCCUGACCGAGCGACGCCGCGUGUGGGAUGAAGGCCUUCGGGUUGUAAACCACUGUUAGAGGGGAUGAAAUGCAGGUGGGUUCUCCCAUCUGUUUGACAUAGCCUCAGAGGAAGGACGGGCUAAGUUCGUGCCAGCAGCCGCGGUAA
rnacentral:rRNA from 1 species